GAUGAACGCUAGCGGGAGGCUUAACACAUGCAAGUCGAGCGGUAUUGCCCUUCGGGGUGAGAGAGCGGCGCACGGGUGCGUAACGCGUAUGCAACCUGCCUUAUGCAGGGGAAUAGCCCGGGGAAACCCGGAUUAAUACUCCAUAGAUCAGUAGAGCCGCAUGGUUUAACUGGUAAAGAUUCAUCGGCAUAAGAUGGGCAUGCGUCUGAUUAGCUAGUUGGUAGGUAACGCCUACCAAGGCGACGAUCAGUAGGGGUUCUGAGAGGAUAAUCCCCCACACUGGUACUGAGACACGGACCAGACUCCUACGGGAGGCAG
rnacentral:rRNA from 1 species